AGAGAGAGACAUGCGCGCAUAUCAAUAAGCGGAGGAAAAGAAACUAACAAGGAUUCCCCUAGUAACGGCGAGUGAAGCGGGAAGAGCUCAAAUUUGAAAUCUUAAAGGGUUUCCCCUUACGAAUUGUAGUUUAAAGAAGUGUUUUCUGUUGAGGUUUUGGUAAAAGUUCUUUGGAAUAGGACAUCAUAGAGGGUGAGAAUCCCGUAUUUGACCUUUACUUUCAACUUUGUGAUACACUUUCAAAGAGUCGGAUUGUUUGGGAAUGCAGUCCAAAAUGGGUGGUAAAUUUCAUCUAAAGCUAAAUAUUGGCGAGAGACCGAUAGCGAACAAGUACCGUGAGGGAAAGAUGAAAAGAACUUUGAAAAGAGAGUUAAACAGUACGUGAAAUUGUCAAAAGGGAAGCGUUUGACACCAGUGUUGUUUUUCUGAAAAUCAAUUAAAGAACUGUUUAUGCUAAGCUUGUUUAGACUUUAUCAGCUAUACUGUUUAGUUUUGAGCUUUUCUUUAAUGCACUUUUCAGUUAACAAGUCAACAUCAAUUUCUUUUGCUGUAAAAAAGCUUGAGGAAGGUGGCUUGAGAUUCGUCUUAAGUGUUUAUAGCCUCUUGCCUAUGCAGUCGGAGAGAUUGAGGUCUGCAGCGUAGAUCCUUCGGGGCUAAAUGCAUUUGUGCUAAGUUAUAGCAUUUUAUAGACAACUUGUUGACUAUGAUUUGUCUUGUAGCUUACUCGCUUAUGUUAUUUUACCUACGCUUAGGAUGUUGACGCAUGAGAUAUACGC
rnacentral:rRNA from 1 species